UUCUCAAACUUUAAAUGGGUAAGAGGAGUGACUUGCUUAACUGAAGUCACUCUUGCGAAUGGAAGUUGCUAGUGGGCCAUAGCUGGUAAGCAGCUCUGGCGAUGCGGGAUGAACCGAACGCAGAGUUAAAGCGCCGGACUGCCCGCUCAUGAGAUCCCAUAAAAGGUGUUGGUUCAUUUAGACAGCAGGACGGUGGCCAUGGA
rnacentral:rRNA from 1 species